ACUCAAAUGAAUUGACGGGGACCCGCACAAGCGGUGGAGCAUGUGGUUCAAUUCGAAACAAAGCGAAAAACCUUACCAGGGUUUGACAUCCUAACUGCACGUUCGACGAAAGUCGAAUUUCUUCGAGAGUGUUAGGACAGGUGCUGCAUGGCUGUCGUCAGCUUGUACCGUGAGGCGCACCCUUAAGUGGGUCAACAAGCGCAACCCCCAUCCUGUGUUAAAUUAAUCACAGGAAACCGCCCGCUAAAAGCGAGGAGGAAGGCGGGGAUGACGUCAAGUCAGCACGGCCCUUAUACCCUGGGCUACACACAUCCUACAAUGGGUGUUUUACAGCGAGUCGCAAUACGGUAACGUAAAGCUAAUCUCACAAAAGCACCCCCAGUUCGGAUUGAGGGCUGCAAUUUGCCCUCAUGAAGUUGAAAUCGCUAGUAAUCGCGGAUCAGCAGGCCGCGGUGAAUACGUUCUCGGGUCUUGUACACACCGCCCGU
rnacentral:rRNA from 1 species